UAUCAACGCAAAGUACAUGGGGUGACAAAGAAGGAACGCUAUGUACAUUGAAUGACAAAGAAGGAGCGCUAUGUACAUCGAAUGACAAAGAAG